AUUGAACGCUGGCGGCAGGCCUAACACAUGCAAGUCGAACGAGAGGCGGACGGGUGAGUAAUGUCCGGGAAACGGCCCGAGGGAGGAGGACAACUACUGGAAACGGUAGCUAAUACCGCAUACCACGGGAGGUGCCGAGAUGGGAUUAGCUAGUGGGUGGGGUAAAGGCUCACCUAGGCGACGAUCCGUAGCUGGUGUGAGAGGAUGACCAGCCACACUGGGACUGAGACACGGUCCAGACUCCUACGGGAGGCAGCAGUGGGGAAUUUUGCACAAUGGGCGCAACCCUGAUCCAGCCAUCCCGCGUGUAUGAAGAAGGCCUUCGGGUUGUAAAGUACUUUCGGCAGGAAGGCGUUACCCGCAGAAUAAGCACCGGCUAACUCCGUGCCAGCAGCCGCGGUAAUAC
rnacentral:rRNA from 1 species